rnacentral:rRNA from 1 species
GGCGGCGUGCCUAACACAUGCAAGUCGAACGAGAAAGUUCGGGUGUAGCAAUACAUCCGGAUGAGUAAAGUGGCGAACGGGUGAGUAACACGUAGCUAACCUGCCCUUGAGCGGGGGAUAACCUGGGGAAACUCGGGCUAAUACCGCAUAACAUCACGAUCACUUAAGUGGAUGGGAUCAAAGGCCCGCAAGGGCCACUCGAGGAGGGGGCUGCGGCCGAUUAGCUAGUUGGCGGGGUAAUGGCCCACCAAGGCGAUGAUCGGUAGCCGGCCUGAGAGGGCGCACGGCCACACUGGCACUGAAACACGGGCCAGACUCCUACGGGAGGCAGCAGUGGGGAAUUUUGCACAAUGCCCGAAAGGGUGAUGCAGCAACGCCGCGUGAGGGAUGAAGGCCUUCGGGUCGUAAACCUCUUUCGACCGGGAAAAACGGGCGGGUGAAUAAUCCGUUCUGAUGGUACCGGUGGAAGAAGCCCCGGCUAACUACGUGCCAGCAGCCGCGGUAAUACGUAGGGGGCGAGCGUUGUUCGGAAUUACUGGGCGUAAA